GAUUCAUCUGAACACAAUACUUGUACUUCAAACCAUACAUAAGUGCAAAUACUCUCUAAAAAGGCACGAUAUAUACAAUGCUAAAAACCGUAUAGGCUAAGACCAUCAGAUUUAAAUCCUGAAUUCGAAACAGAAGGUACCAUCAAGUCAAGCUAACAUGAAUUCAUACUUUUAUUUGAGCUUGAAUUUAUUUGUAUGUAAGAAGUCGUUGCGUCUUAGCACAUCCCUUUUCUUACAGAAGUGCUAAUGCACGACCUUACAUUUUCUUCCGCUUAUCCUGCAGUACGAGCCAUGCAUACAGAUCACACGAUUCCCAAACGAUCCGAGUACUAUUUACAAAAUGCAAUGUACAUGCUCGCCUUUAUUUAUGUACAAUAUAUGUAAAUCAAAAUAUCGAUCGUGUUUCAGCUAAAAUUCGCGUUCAAACAGUUACUAUACAUGUUGGUGUAACAUCGUGAAGUUCUUACCGUGUUUUUUCUUUGAUAACCGAGAAAUCUCCGAGGGCAGAUAGCAUUUAAAAGAAAUGCCUUCUUCUGAUCUGCUUCCUUUUUGGAGGGAGUGGUGCUUCACCAUUUCCAGGGAAUUCCCAUUUGACAACAUCUCCAUCCCAAGAAGAGCUAACAAGCAUUGGAUAAGUAGGGUGCCAGCUACAAUCUCUAAUGGUCGACCGGUGGUGCUGCAAUUUCGCGACUUGCUCUCCACUUACCAAAUCAUAGAUGUAUACGCAGGCAUCAUGGGAUCCUGUGUAAAUGUAUCUCUGCCCAGUGCUAUAUUCUGGUGAGAAGUAGCAGCGAAUUAGAGUACGCAAGACAGAAUGACCCUUAUAAGUGGAUAUUGACUGAUCAUAAGGGUGCUUCACGUCUCUAGCUUGAGCAGGGUAGUCCAUCCAUCUAUAGUCCCACUCAUAAUUCCUGAACCAGAUAUUGCGAGCAGCAUGAGAAGACAUUUUGCGGAUAUCCCAGAGCUUGAUGGACUGAUCUUUACUGUUAGAAAUGAAAUAACGACCAUCCCCCCGACUAUCAAGGAACGUAACGCCUUCUAGGUGUCCCAUCAAGACUCCGGCUGGCUUUUCUUUGGCCCUAAAACAACGUCUAUCCCAGACCUUACACAGAUUGUCAUCACUUCCAGAAUAAAUGAGAUGGCCACUUUCGUCAGCAAAACAUACAGAAUUGACAUCAGAAUUGUGUGCGGAUAUUCGAAGAGAGAGUUUGUUUGCUUCAAGAUCAUAAACAUAGAUCGCAUCAUCACUACUUCCAGCAACAACUUCCCGACCUUCAGUAGAAAAUUUCACAGAGAAAAUUCCAAAAUCAUCAUUGUCAGUAGACAAAAGCAAACCAUCAUGAAUUUCUGUGAUGUUGGCUACAGAUUCAGAGGCAGCAGAUCCUACAUCUACAAUAUGUACGAUGGGUGACAUAGUAGCAUAGACCAAAUGACGUUGAUCCGGAGAAAGAGAUGUAUCAGUAACUGUCCAUCUCAAACUUUUUGCAUGAAUAUUCUUGUGAACUUUCCACCCUCUUUCCACAUUGUAUAUUCUAAUAUGACUUCCCUGAAAGGCAGCAACAAAAAGGGAACCAUCUGCUGAAAAUUGUGAUACAUAAGCUCUGGUUUCCAUCUGGUCCACAAUCCAAGGACCACUAACUGGCAAAUAUUUACUUAGAACAUGACAACAAUCUGCCUUCGAAAACCUUCCUCUACCGGAAAUAUUGGCUUCUCGAGCAGCUAACAUCUUGAAUGCGGAUACAGGAACUUCCUUUUUCCCUGGUAGGAUUCUACUGAGAUUUUCAUGGGGUCCUGAUCUAAGCUUAGUAAGUUGAGAAAUUUCAUGGUCCAAAUAAUUUGUUGGUCUUUCAUGAUGAACACUGCUAGCAACCCCAUGAUUGGAACUUGAACCAUCAAAGAGUCCGGUGUCUACUUCUAACUUACUUAGAGAAUACCCCAUGUCUUCAAUGGACUCUGGGUGUAAGAAAUCAAAAUACAUUUUCACAUGUAAGACAGUGCAGGGCGAUUGUCUGAGAGCCGCCUUGAAAUAUCAUAUCAUCCAUAAUCAAGAUCCUACCAUGCCAAACCUGAUUGCUAAAUCUUGGAGUUGUUUAAAAUUUCCAAUUCAUUCACUUUUUGUUUACUCUUA
rnacentral:misc_RNA from 1 species